GCGAACGCUGGCGGCAGGCCUCACACAUGCAAGUCGAACGAACUCUUCGGAGUUAGUGGCGGACGGGUGAGUAACACGUGGGAACGUGCCUUUUGGUUCGGAAUAACUCAGGGAAACUUGUGCUAAUACCGAAUGUGCCCUUCGGGGGAAAGAUUUAUCGCCAUUAGAGCGGCCCGCGUCUGAUUAGCUAGUUGGUGAGGUAACGGCUCACCAAGGCGACGAUCAGUAGCUGGUCUGAGAGGAUGACCAGCCACACUGGGACUGAGACACGGCCCAGACUCCUACGGGAGGCAGCAGUGGGGAAUCUUGCGCAAUGGGCGAAAGCCUGACGCAGCCAUGCCGCGUGAAUGAUGAAGGUCUUAGGAUUGUAAAAUUCUUUCACCGGGGACGAUAAUGACGGUACCCGGAGAAGAAGCCCCGGCUAACUUCGUG
rnacentral:rRNA from 1 species